rnacentral:lncRNA from 1 species
UUAAAUGUUCCCAACAUUCCCUAAUUUUUCCUUCUCUCUCAAAUGAUUCCGCUCCUUGCUAAGGCAAAUACGGAACUCCUCUCCAUCUAAUCACAAUUGAGUUACUCCUUAGCAAUCUCCAGUACUUAUAUUCCGCGGGCACAAGAAAAUAAUUUGAAAGCUUCAUAAUAUCCUUGAGCAGCUGGGAUUAAGUUGCAGAAUAGUAAGAAAUUAUAAGCAAUCAAGUGAAAGGUAUGUGAAUUAUUUUACUAAGUUUUGUUAGCUAUGAUGUUAGUAUUGAGCAAAGUGAUUGUGAAUUAGAACAAAACAGUUGGUUAUAAAACAAAACAAAAACUGUUAGUUUAUUGGUUGUUUGAGUAUUCAUGUUUUGUUUGUGAAAUUGACUGCUAUGAAUUUAAUUUAGGCACAAAGAGAUAAGUGGGCUGUGGAGUAAUAAGGAGAAUAAUAUGAGUUUAUAAUAUAAACCUAUGGCUAUGAAUCUAGUAACACAAAACUGUGCACACUACGUGUUUGUUAAAAGUCCCAAGUGGACUGUAUUGAUUAGAAAUCAAUUACUAGAUAAAAUCAAAAACUGGGACAAAGUGGUAUGCUAUAUGAGUUUAUAAUCAGAGUAAAUAAGCAUGCUAGUUUGAAAUGAAACUCAAUUAUAGCCAAAGGAAAAACAGAGUAUGUCAAUGCUCAUGUAAGUGCUGUUUUGUGCAGUCAACUGAAACUGAAAUGGAAGUGCUUCAAUUUCUACAAAUAUUAUUAUUAUAUGAUAGAUGUAAUAUAUCUAAAAAGGAUAUAGAUGAACAUUUGAAUUGAAGCAACAAACUAGGGAAAUAGGCACAUAGCUGCUGCCUAUGGCAGCAGCAGUAUCAGUGAUAUGGUUUAGGUGAGAGUUUGUUUUAAGUUUUCAAUCGGCAAGCUUAGUGGUUUAAAUAACUUAGUUACUAUUUUAUUCAAGUUGGUAACUAUAUUACCUAUAUUAUCUCCAAAAUUGUAGUAUAUUAACUACAAGUUAGAAAUUGGUUGAAGGGCAGAGCAUGGCAGCAGCAGCAGUUUGCAACAGCCAUCAACCAAGAGAUAGUGGGUGUGGGUUGUGGCUGCAAGACAACUACAGCCAUAGCUAAUAAGUGCACUAAAGGAAUAAGCUACUGCUGUAUAGCAGCCAUGAACAACAAGUAGUAACGAGUCCCAACUUAUAGAGAUUUGAGCUGGGUAUAUGAUGGCUACAUAUUAGUUUAUAAAAGUAGUGAAGAAUUGUUUAUAAAUCUUUAACAAACAAUCCCAUGAGUUAUAAAAAAAAAAACUAAUUAAGAAAUGGGAUAGAAUAGCUGACUUGGACAGCUGCAGAACAAUGGCUGGGCUGGGGGGCUUUCAUUUGAGCAAUUCGACGGUAUAGUUGAAUGGUUUUACGAAUUUAAUUAGCAUUCUAUUUAAAUAGGAAGUAUGUAAACUUCUAUGCUUUCAAAGAAUGGCAUAAUAAGGUGUGUAAUUGGAGCUAAUUAUCGAGCAAGGGGGAGGCAAGCUGCUGCACAUUUGCAGCAACAGUUGUUAGCUAACUGCUAAUGCAGUGUAAAGCCACACUAAAAUUUAUUAAAUCCCACAAAGUCAAACAUAAGUGACUAAUAGCAUAAAAAAAUGCUAAGAAACUGUUAGUAUAUUUAAGUGAGCUACUUAACUCACUUAGUUAAAUAGAGGAAACAAAAGGAUAAUUAACAAGCAAAAUUUAACCUCAAUAGUAAGAGGUUGCUAAGCCAACUAAAUUACGCGAGAGAAUUGUUAAAGCAUCUAUAAAGGCUGCAAGAUAUAUUUAGCCAAAGAGGGUUAUUUUGACAUAACUAAGAAACGCUAUAAGUCGAAUGAAUAAUUUGACAAUAUAAUUUGCAAAGCAGAUUGGGAACUAAAAGUUCUACCCUUAUGAUAAACAAUCAUACUUAAUACAUGAAAUAUCUUACGUAUUCACCUUGAAUACCUAAGUUAUAAAGAAGAUUGCAAAGUAUACUCAUGGCAAGAAAGAAGAAAAAGGAAUAUAAACUAAAGUCAUGAAAAUUCAUGAACAUGGAUUAUGUCAGACCCUAUAAAAGAAAGAAAAGGCUAUUGUAAGAACAUGGAUGAGGUAUUUGAAAAAUGUAUAGAAAUAUCUCAAGCAUAAACUAAAAACAUUAUCACUAUGAGGUUUUUGACUUCUCCUUGGCCUUCAGUAUACACCUUGGGUACAUGGGCGUCAUCUCCCUUUGUGACUUGUUCAUAAAAAGAAACUUUCAAUAAGAAAAGGGUGUAUGAUAGAUUUGAAUGUGGCUUCGAAGGAAAUAAUGCAGACGUUUGGCUUUUCGAUAUUUGGAUUUGAUUAAUUAUUCAAUGCAUAUCUACUAUUAAAUACAGUGUUGUUUUGGAUGGUGAAAAACUUGAUGCCUUCUGUCCUAACAAAGGAUUGGGUGGGUAAAUACCUUUUCUGUACUUGUUCAAUAUGUUUCCUGAAAGUCUAUCCUUUGAUAAACUGGGCGGUAGAUAGUUUAUGGUUCCUCAUGUUAAAAUUUGAGUUAAACAAGUGGAUAACUCAUCAUAAUAGACAAUGAGAUUAAAGACUGGAAAAGUCCACUGAUUUGUAAGUGUUUCCCCAAGAAGUGACUCAAGAUACUUUAGUUGGCCCGUGCUCUUGGAUUUUGACAGGAAGCUCCUUGAGUUCUGCCAAGGAAAUGAAGUGGUAACUUUGCAAGAGAGACUCGGUGUCUCAACAACAUUGGAAGUUGCUACUAGUGGGAGACUAUGAAGAAGAAUGCCUAUUGAUUGAUGGUCCCCUAUCUAUACUGAGGAGGUUUCUUAUUGUGAAGAGGGUGUAGAGAAGCAUGAUAAAAAGUAAGGUGAAGAGGGGGUUUCUUAGUCAAGUGCUGCAUAGAUGGAAGAAUUCAACUAUGAAGCCACAAUCAUACAAAUUUUCAGCAUGGUUGUGUAUUGAAAGAAGUCACAGAAAUUAGCUAAGGAAUGGGAAGAUGCUUGAGACAUGGGAAGACUUUGCUCUCUAUUUCCGUAAUAAUGGUAGUUUAUCCACGUUAGCUCUCAAGCUUUCCUGUUUUUUUUCAUAAACCAUAAUCUCCAUUAUUGCAUACUAAUUUAUCUCGGCUUUAUCUCUUGACUGAUUUCUAGUGUUAAGGGUUGCAUGGUACCAGUUGCUGCAAAUACAUAUUCAUUUAUUUGGUUGGUCAUGUUUAUGACCUGCCUUUCAUGGUUUUUUCAGGAUAUAUUGAACUGAAGAACAUAGGAUCCUGUAAUGACUUUUCGUCAAAAAUGGAGUCAUGAAAAUAAUGAGGUAUACACCUGGUAAAUUCCCUCUGAAUCAAUUGCCUGAAUAAAUUUGUCUGGAAUGUGUUAGAUGUAUUGAAGUAUGAUGCAAUGUUCUGGAUUGUGAUUAGGGCGUCUGUCUGCUGAUAAAUUUGAUGAGUCAUUAGUCUUAGGCUGUUGGUCACUUGUCCUUCGUCAUGUGCCAUCAGGCAUAGGGCUAUGGGUCGAACGAUGAAUGCCCAACACGUGGCGGCUCAUUGUUUACAGGAAAAUUUGCUGGCCUUUCUUCAUCUUCUCAUGUAGAGUCCUCCAAACUAUUAUUCUUCCAUUGAACAAAUAUUUGAACAAUUGAUGGCGCCUUUCUUCUGUUAACAUGUCAUUCCAUAGUCUAAUUCAACUUGUAUAACAUUUAUUCUGUUAUAAUUGACAGUCUUGCUCUGUUAUUUUCAGUAUUCUUUUGCUCAACUAAGUAAAUUUUAUUAAAGAAAGAACAAUUACUCUUCAAACUUACAUUGCAAUUUCGUAAGAUUAUCAGUUAAUAUCUCCACCAUACUCCUAUCCACAUACCCCUUGCAAUAUCUCCUUCUUCUAGAUUCUUUUCAAAAGCAAGGGAAUCACUUGCACCAUUAAUUUAAAAAAUUAAGAAAAGAAAAAAAGCGACUCUAAAUAAGUUGAUUGAUACUUAAUUUUGUCAAACAUGAAUGGCUAUAAUAGGGAUACUAUGUGGUUAGUCUGAUCAAUCCAUUUGAGAUAACCAUAGUUUCUAUUUGGAGCAUCUUUAUCGACCUCUAAACUCGGAAUAAAACUCCUCCUAUUUGCUAGUGAAUUCUAGAAUGCUAGGUUCUACGCUGAUCUUCGUUCUUCUCGCUUGAACCUCUAGGAUUGCCUGAUAUAUAGUUUUAUCAUCUCCUACAUUGGUUGCAGAACUUGCUCUAUGAGGAAAUAUGGCAAAUGAGGGGUAAUUGAGGUUUGUGUGCUUUCGGUUGCAACUCCAGUUAUUUCGCCCUCCCUAGGACAGAACUCACUUGCCUUUUAGUAUAGUUGAGACCACACAAGAACUUAACGUAAUCUUGGGAAUCCAUGUCGUAUAUCAAUCCAGGCUAUAUUUCUUUGUUCGGAUUGACAUGGCCUGCCCCAAAAUCAAGAGGAGUGGUAAAAAGUCAUGUCCCUUGGUCUUUAAGAAUCGCGUGUGUAUUGCCUGUGGUAAUUGCGGUGGUCAUCAAAGUUGAUCGGAUGGCUGCAGGAUUCUAGUCAUGGUGAACUGCUUUCAACAGUGUUGUUACCCCUGCAACAGAGGGGGAUUUCCGUCAUCUGUGCUGCUGGAAAUUUUGGACCAGAUGCUUACUCAAUAGUCAAUGGAGCACCAUGGAUUACAACAGUAGGAGCUGGCACUAUUGAUCGGGAAUUUGUGGCAACGCUGCAACUGGGAAAUGGGGAAACUGUGGAAGGAAUAUCAUAUUUUCCAGAGAGCGUUUACAUCACCAAUUCACCUCUAUAUUAUGGGAAAAGCAAUGUAAACAAAUCAAUAUGCAGAGCUUCAGCGCUAGAUCCAAAAGAGGUUGCUGGAAAGGUUACCUUAUGUGAUACUAGCACUACUCUUGGUAUUGACCAGCAGAUCGAUGAAAUUGUCAGGGCAGGUGCAUAUGCCGAAAUAUUAUUGACGGACACAUUGACAACUUUAAAAGAAGAUGCUGACUCAUCCAUAUUCUCAUCCAUUCCCCCAAUGCUUCUGCAGAUCAGCACAAAACCUGCACAAGAAAUUGUCAGGGCAAAAGAGGUUGCUGAAAACCUGUACAAAACCUGCAUGGAGGGAAUGUACGAGAAUAUGAUGAGUCAACAUAUGCUUCUAAAGUUGCCAAUGUGUUCGUCAGUAAUAUUCCGACAUAUGCACGACAAUUUCAUCGAUCUGCUGGUCAAUAUCAAGAGUAGUGCUAGUAUCACAUAAGACCACCUUUCCAGCAACUUCUUUUGGAUCUAGCGUUGAACCUCUGCAUAUUGAUUUGUUUACAUUCCUUUUCCCAUAAUAUAGAGGUGAAUUGGUGAUGUAAAUGCUCUCUGGAAAGUAUGAUAUUCCUUCCACAGUUUCCCCAUUUCCCAGUUGUAGCGUUGCCUCAAAUUCCCGAUCAAUAGUGCCAGCUCCUACUGUUGUAAUCCAUGGUGCUCCAUUGACUAUUGAGUAAACAUCUGGUCCAAAAUUUCCAGCAGCACAGAUUAUGGAAAUCCCCCUCUGUCGCUGAAAGUACUGCAAUGGCUAUGACAUCCUUGAAAUAAGGUGCCCGCCUGAAGCCCAAAGACAAGGACAAGAUAUCUACCCCGUCCACAAUUGAUUGGUUCAUUGUAGCCAGUAAGUCGCUUGCAGCAAUGUUGCGAAGUGUGUCUGUCCAGCCAACCUUGUACAUGGCAAUACGUGCUCUUAGUGCCACCCUUUUGGUUGUCCCACUGGCGUAACCAAAAUGACUCGCACCGUGUACAUAAAUACCUGCAGCUAUAGAUGAUGUGUGAGUUCCAUGUCUACAGAAAUCUCGUGCUGAUUCGAAGUCACGGUCCUCGGAGAUUCUUCUACCUGCAGCUACAAGUCCUUUGUUAAAAGAUCAAGCUCCAAUCAGUUUCCUGUUGCAGAGAGAAUGGGUAAAAGUUGUACCAUUCCCACACAUCCCUUUCCAUCUAACUGGAACCGGUUACAUCCCCUUGUCCCUAAAGCUCUAACUUUCUGGCCAUAUUCCCGUGUCGACCCAAUGAUCACGUUUUUGCCGUAAGAUGCAGUAGGCCAUAUGUCAGCGGUAUGACUUAGGCCAAGAAACUUAGGCAAGUGGAUUGUGAAGAGCUUCCCGAAGGACUCUUCAUAUGUCGCCAAAUUAGAAGGGAGCUUCUCCAGCUGAGAUAGUUGAGAAGGCGUGAGCCGUGCACUAAACCCAUGCAUGACAUGGCCGUAUGAGUAGACCAACUUCUCUUUGUCAUCGAAGCGAUAUGGUGGAAACGACUGUAGGAUGUUUUGGUGCCAUAACUCUUCAGUUGUAAAAAUUUCUGGUUUGUGGGAAUGGUCCAUGUGUAUGAUGUAAGUUUGGUAUUCUUCAGGUUUGGGCGACACUUUGUUGAGCCCAGGUAACAAGAACAAUACUAGGUAGAAAAUUAUUGUGCUGCGUAAAAUGUUUCCUAUCUCGUUGAAAUGGAUUUGUUUAGCCAUGGUAGCUAUAGCAAUGAAAUGAAGUGGGAAUGUGGGAUAGUUUUUUCAACUUGCAGAUUUAUCCUACUUAUAUAGUGGAGUCGGGAGUGUGAGCACAAUGGAAUCCAAUAUAUGUGUAUAUAUAAAUACAUAUUUGUGGGGACCCUUUAGGAUUUAUGCUCAUGAUGACAGAUUUUUAUUUGAUUUUCCUCUCAAUAAGUUUGUCAUUUAAUGACCUUAAAUAUGAAACUGAUCCUAAAUUUGGUAUUGUUCUGUGUUCUACGUAUUCUGACCAUGCUAAAUUUUUUUUGCUACAGCAUACAAGUCUAGAGACUUUCCCUUUCCCUUUUUGAUAUUAUAGUAAUGGUUUCCACUUUCCCUUUUUGAUAUCAUAUCAAUAACAUCAUAAUGUUUAUUUUAUAAUAUAUUUUAGAUUUAUAAUAUCGAGUUCCCUCCAUGCUUCUGCAGAUCCGCACAAAACCUGCACAAGAAAUUGUCAGGGCAAAAGAGGUUGCAGGAGAGCCUGCACAAAACCUGCAUGGAGGGAAUGUAUAAGAAUAUGAUGAGUCAGCAUCUGCUUCUAAAGUUGCCAAUGUGUCCGUCAGUAAUAUUCCGGCAUAUGCACGAUAAUUUCAUCGCUCUGCUGGUGAAUAUCAAGAGUAGUGCUAGUAUCACAUAGGACCACCUUUCCAGCAACCUCUUUUGGAUCCAGCGCUGAACCUCUGCAUAUUGAUUUGUUUACCUUGCUUUUCCCAUAAUAUAGAGGUGAAUUGGUGAUGUAAAUGCUCUCUGGAAAGUAUGAUAUUCCUUCCACAGUUUCCCCAUUUCCCAGUUGCAGCGUUGACACAAAUUCCCGAUCAAUAGUGCCAGCUCCUACUGUUGUAAUCCAUGGUGCUCCAUUGACUAUUGAGUAAGCAUCUGAUCCAAAGUUUCUAGCAGCACAGAUGACGAAAAUUCCCCUCUCUGUCGCCAAAAGUGCUGCAAUGGCUAUGACAUCCUUGAAAUAAGGUGCCAGCCCAAGGACCAAAGACAAGGACAAGAUAUCUACCCCGUCCACAAUUGAUUGGUCCAUGGUAGCCAGUAAGUCGCUCGCAGCAAUGUUGCGAAGUGUGUCUGCCCAGCCAACCUUGUACAUGGCAAUACGUGCUCUUGGUGCCACCCCUUUGGCUGUCCCACUGGCGUAACCAAAAUGACUCGCACCGUGUACAUAAUUACCUGCAGCUGUAGAUGAUGUGUGAGUUCCAUGUCUAGAGAAAUCUCGUGCUGAUUCGAAGUCACGGUUCUUGGAGAUUCUUCCACCUGCAUCCAUAAGUACUUUGCUAAAAGAUCGAGCUCCAAUCAGCAUCAUGUUGCAGAGAGAAUGGGUAAAAGUUGUACCAUUCUCACACGUCCCUUUCCAUCUAACUGGAACCGGUGACAUCCCCUUGUCCUUAAAGCUCUCAUUUUCAGGCCAUAUUCUUGUGUCGACCAUAUGAUCACGUUUUUGCCGUAAAAUGCAGUAGGUCAUAUGCCAGCGGUAUGACUUAGGCUAAGAAACUUAGGCGAGUGGGUUGUGAAGAGCUUCCCUAAGGAUUUCAUAUGUCGCCAAAUGAGAAGGGAGCUUCUCCAGCUGAGAUAGUUAAGAUGGCGUGAGCCGUGCACUAAACCCAUGCAUGGCAUGGCUGUAGGAGUAGACCAACUUCUCUUUUUCAUCGGAGCGAUAUGGUGGCAACGACUGUGGGAUGUUUUGGUGCCAUAACUCUUCAGUUGUAAAAAUUUCUGGUUUGUGGGAAUGGUCCAUGUGUAUGAUGUAAGUUUGGUAUUCUUCAAGUUUGGAUGACACUUUGUUGAGCUCAGGUAACAAGAACAACAAUAGGUAGAAAAUUAUUGUGCGGCGUAAAAAGUUUCCUAUCUCGUUGAAAUGGAUUUGUUUAGCUAUGGUAGCUAUAGCAAUGAAAUGAAAUGAAGUUUCCUAUCUCGUUGAAAUCCCCCUCUCUGUCGCUGAAAGUGCUGCAAUGGCUAUGACAUCCUUGAAAUAAGGUUCCGCCCAAGGCCCAAAGACAAGGACAAGAUAUCUACCCCGUCCACAAUUGAUUGGUCCAUGGCAGCCAGUAAGUCGCUCGCAACAAUGUUGUGAAGUGUGUCUGCCCAGCCAACCUUGUACAUGGUAAUACGUGCUCUUGGUGCCACCCUUUUGGCUGUCCCAAAUGCGUAACCAAAAUGACUCGCACCGUGUACCUAAUUACCUGCAACUGUAAAUGAUGUGUGAGUUCCAUGUCCAGAGAAAUCUCGUGCUGAUUCGAAGUCACGAUCCUUGGAGAUUCUUCCACCUGCAGCCACAAGUACUUUGCUAAAAGAUCGAGCUCCAAUCAACUUCCUGUUGCAGAGAGAAUGGGUAAAAGCUGUAUCAUUCUCACACAUCCCUUUCCAUCUAGCUGGAACCAGUGACAUCCCCUUGUCCUUAAAGCUCUCACUUUCAGGCCAUAUUCCUGUGUCGACCCUAUGAUCACGUUUUUGCCGUAAAAUGCAGUAGGUCAUAUGCCAACGAUAUGACUUAGGCCAAGAAACUUAGGCGAGUGGGUUGUGAAGAGCUUUCCGAAGGACUCUUCAUAUGUCGCCAAAUGAGAAGGGAGCUUCUCCAGCUGAGAUAGUUGAAACGGCGUGAGCCGUGCACUAAACCCAUGCAUGACAUGGCUGUAUGAGUAGACCAACUUCUCUUUGUUAUCGGAGCGAUAUGGUGGCAACGACUGUAGGAUGUUUUGGUGCCAUAAUUCUUCAGUUGCAAAAAUUUUUGGUUUGUGGGAAUGGUCCAUAUGUAUGAUGUAAGUUUGGUAUUCUUCAGGUUUGGAUGACACUUUUUUGAGCCCAGGUAACAAGAACAACACUAGGUAGAAAAUUAUUGUGUGGCGUAAAAAGUUUCCUAUCUCGUUGAAAUGGAUUUGUUUAGCCAUGGUAGUUAUAGCAAUGGAAUGAAGUGGGAAUGUGGGAUAGUUUUUUCAACUUGCAGAUUUAUCCUACUUAUAUAGUGCAGUCAGGAGUGUGAGCACAUUGGAAUCCAAUAUAUGUGUAUAUAUAAAUACAUAUUUGUGGUGACCCUUUAGGAUUUAUGCUCAUGAUUUUGACAGCCAACAGAUUUUUAUUUGAUUUUCCUCUCAAUAAGUUUGUCAUUUAAUGACUUUAAAUAUGAAAUCGAUCCUAAAUUUGGUAUUGUUCUGUGUUCUACGUAUUCUGACCAUUCUAAAUUUAUUUUGUUACAACAUACAAGUCUAGAGACUUUCCGUUACCCUUUUUGAUAUUAUAGUAACGGUUUCCAAUUUCCAUUUUUGAUAUCAUAUCAAUAACAUCAUAAUGUUUAUUUUAUUAUAUAUUUUAGAUUUAAAAUAUGGGGUUCCCUCCAUGCUUCUGCAGAUCAGCACAGAACCUGCACAAGAAAUUGUCCGGGCAAAAGAGGUUGCUGGAAAAUCUGCACAAAACCUACAUAAAGGGAAUGUAUAAGAAUAUGAUGAGUCAGCAUCUGCUUCUAAAGUUGUCAAUGUGUCCGUCAGUAAUAUUCCGGCAUAUGCACGACAAUUUCAUCGAUCUGCUGGUCAAUAUCAAGAGUAGUGUUAGUAUCACAUAGGACCAUCUUUCCAGCAACCUCUUUUGGAUCCAGCGUUGAACCUCUGCAUAUUGAUUUGUUUACCUUGCUUUUCCCAUAAUAUAAAGGUGAAUUGGUGAUGUAAAUGCUCUCUGGAAAGUAUGAUAUUCCUUCCACAGUUUUCCCAUUUCUCAGUUGCAGCGUUGACACAAAUUCCCGUUCAAUAGUGCCAGUUCCUACUGUUGUAAUCUAUGGUGCUCCAUUGACUAUUGAGUAAGCAUCUGGUCCAAAAUUUUCAGCAGCACAGAUGACGGAAAUCUCCCUCUCUAUCGCUGAAAAUGCUGCAAUGGCUAUGACAUCCUUGAAAUAAGGUGCCCGCCCAAGGCCCAAAGACAAGGACAAGAUAUCUAUCCCGUCCACAAUUGAUUGGUCUAUGGCAGCCAGUAAGUCGCUCGCAACAAUGUUGCGAAGUGUGUCUGCCCAGCCAACCUUGUACCUGGCAAUACGUGCUUUUGGUGCCACCCCUUUGGUUGUCCCAUUAGCGUAACCAAAAUGACUCGUACCGUGUACAUAAUUACCUGCAGCUGUAGAUGAUGUGUGAGUUCCAUGUCCAGAGAAAUCUCGUGCUGAUUCGAAGUCACGGUCCUUGGAGAUUCUUCCACUUGCAGCCACAAGUCAUUUGCUAAAAGAUCGAGCUCCAAUCAGCUUCCUGUUGCAGAAAGAAUGGGUAAAAGCUGUAACAUUCUCACAUGUCCCUUUCCAUCUAGCUGGAACCUGUGACAUCCCUUUGUCCUUAAAGCUCUCACUUUUCAGGCCAUAUUCCUGUGUCGACCCUAUGAUCACGUUUUUGCCGUAAAAUGUAGUAGGUCAUAUGCCAACGGUAUGACUUAGGCCAAGAAACUUAAGCGAGUGGAUUGUGAAGAGCUUCCCGAAGGAGUCUUCAUAUGUUGCCAAAUAAGAAGGGAGCUUCUCCAGCUGAGAUAGUUGAGACGACAUGAGCCAUGCACGAAACCCAUGCAUGGCAUAGCUGUAUGACUAGACCAACUUCUCUUUGUCAUCGGAGCGAUAUGGUGGCAACGACUGUAGGAAGUUUUGGUGUCAUAACUCUUCAGUUGUAAAAAUUUCUGGUUUGUGGGAAUGGUCCAUGUGUAUGAUGUAAGUUUGGUAUUCUUCAGGUUUAGACGACACAUUGUUGUGCCCAAGUAACAAGAACAACACUAGGUAGAAAAUUAUUGUGCAGCGUAAAAAGUUUCGUAUCCCGUUGAAAUGGAUUUGUUUAGCCAUGGUAGCUAUAGCAAUGAAAUGAAGUGGGAAUGUGGGAUAGUUUUUUCAACUUGCAGAUUUAUCCUACUUAUAUAGUGGAGUCAGGAGUGUGAGCACAUUGGAAUCCAAUAUAUGUGUAUAUAUAAAUACAUAUUUGUGGGGACCCUUUAGGAUUUAUGCUUAUGAUUUUAACUGCUAACAUAUUUUUAUUUGAUUUUCCUCUCAAUAAGUUUGUAAUUUAAUGACCUUAAAUAUGAAACCGAUCCUAAAUUUGGUAUUGUUUUGUGUUUUACGUAUUCUGACCAUGCUAAAUUUAUUUUGCUACAGUAUAUAAGUCUAAAGACUUUCCCUUUCCCUUAUUGAUAUUAUAGUAAUGAUUUCCACUUUCCCUUUUUGAUAUCAUAUCAAUAACAUCAUAAUGUUUAUUUUAUAAUAUAUUUUAGAUUUAUAAUAUCAAGUUCCCUCAAUGCUUCUGCAGAUCAGCACAAAACCUUCACAAGAAAUUGUCAGGGCAAAAGAGGUUGCUGGAAAACCUGCACGAAACCUGCAUGGAGGGAAUGUAUAAGAAUAUGAUGAGUCAGCAAUUACUUCUAAAGUUGCCAAUGUGUCCGUCAGUAAUAUUCCGUCCCUUUCCAUCUCGCUGGAACAAGUGACAUCCCCUUGUCCCUAAAGCUCUCACUUUCUGGCCAUAUUCUUGUGUCGACUAACCCUAUGAUCACGUUUUUGCCGUAAGAUGCAGUAGGCCAAAUGCCAACGGUAUGACUUAGGCCAAGAAACUUAGGCGACGAGUGGAUUGUGUAGAGCUUCCCGAAGGACUCUUCAUAUGUCGCCAAAUAAGAAGGGAGCUUCUCCAGCUGAGAUAGUUGAGAUGGCGUGAGCCGUGCACUAAACCCAUGCAUGGCAUGGCUGUAUGAGUAGAGUAACUUCUUUUUGUCAUCGGAGCGAUAUGGCGGCAGCGACUGUAGGAUGAUUUGGUGCCAUAACUCUUCUGUUAUAAAAAUUUCUGGUUUGUGGGAAUGGUCAAUAUGUAUGAUGUAAGUUUGGUAUUCUUCAGGUUUGGACGACACUUUGUUGAGCCCAGGUAACAAGAACAACACUAGGUAGAAAAUUAUUGUGUGGCGUAAAGAGUUUCUUAUCUCGUUGAAAUGGAUUUGUUUAGCCAUGGUAGCUAUAGUAAUGAAAUGAAGUGGGAAUGUGGGAUAGUUUUUUCAACUUGCAAAUUUAUUCUACUUAUAUAGUGGAAUCAGGAGUGUGAGCACAUUGGAAUCCAAUAUAUGUGUAUAUAUAAAUACAUAUUUGUGGGGACCCUUUAGGAUUUAUGCUUAUGAUUUUAACUGCUAACAUAUUUUUAUUUGAUUUUCCUCUCAAUAAGUUUGUAAUUUAAUGACCUUAAAUAUGAAACCGAUCCUAAAUUUGGUAUUGUUCUGUGUUCUACGUAUUCUGACCAUGCUAAAUUUAUUUUGCUACAGCAUACAAGUCUAAAGAAUUUCCCUUUCCCUUUUUGAUAUUAUAGUAAUGGUUUCCACUUUCCCUUUUUGAUAUCAUAUUAAUAACAUCAUAAUGUUUAUUUUAUAAUAUAUUUUAGAUUUAUAAUAUCGAGUUCCCUCCAUGCUUCUGCAGAUCACCACAAAACCUGCACAAGAAAUUGUCAGGGCAAAAGAGGUUGCUGAAAAACCUGCACAAAACCUGCAUAGUGGGAAAGUAUAAGAAUAUGAUGAGUCAGCAUCUGCUUCUAAAGUUGCCAAUGUGUCCGUCAAUAAUAUUUCGGCAUAUGCACGAUAAUUUCAUCGAUCUGCUGGUCAAUAUCAAGGGUAGUGCUAGUAUCACAUAGGACCACCUUUCCAGCAACCUCUUUUGGAUCCAGCGCUGAACUUCUAUAUAUUGAUUUGUUUACCUUGCUUUUCCCAUAAUAUAGAGGUGAAUUGGUGAUGUAAAUGCUCUCUAGAAAGUAUGAUAUUCCUUCCACAGUUUUCCCAUUUUCCAGUUGCAGCGUUGACACAAAUUUUCGAUCAAUAGUGCCAGCUCCUAAUGUUGUAAUCCAUGGUGCUCCAUUGACUAUUGAGUAAGCAACUGGUCCAAAAUUUCCAGCAGCACAGAUGACGGAAAUCCCCCUCUCUGUCGCUGAAAGUUCUGCAAUGGCUAUGACAUCCUUGAAAUAAGGUUCCCGCCCAAGGCCCAAAGACAAGGACAAGAUAUCUACCCCGUCCACAAUUGAUUGGUCCAUGGCAGCCAGUAAGUCGCUUGCAACAAUGUUGUGAAGUGUGUCUGCCCAGCCAACCUUGUACAUGGUAAUACGUGCUCUUGGUGCCACCCUUUUGGCUGUCCCAAUUGCGUAACCAAAAUGACUCGCACCGUGUACCUAAUUACCUGCAACUGUAAAUGAUGUGUGAGUUCCAUGUCCAGAGAAAACUCGUGCUAAUUCGAAGUCACGGCCCUUGGAGAUUCUUCCACCUGCAGCCACAAGUACUUUGCUAAAAGAUCGAGCUCCAAUCAGCUUCCUGUUGCAGAGAGAAUGGGUAAAAGCUGUAUCAUUCUCACUCGUCCCUUUUCAUCUAACUGGAACCGGUGACAUCCCCUUAUCCUUAAAGCUCUCACUUUCAGGCCUUAUUCCUGUGUCAACCCUAUGAUCACGUUUUUGCCGUAAAAUGCAGUAGGUCAUAUGCCAGCGGUAUGACUUAGGCCAAGAAACUUAGGCGAGUGGGUUGCGAAAAGCUUCCCGAAGGACUCUUCAUAUGUCGCUAAAUGAGAAGGGGGCUUCUUCUGCUGAGAUAGUUUAGACGGCGUGAGCCGUGCACUAAACCCAUGCAUGGCAUGGCUGUAUGAGUAGACCAACUUCUCUUUGUCAUCGGAGCGAUAUGGUGGCAACGACUGUAGGAUGUUUUGGUGCCAUAACUCUUCAGUUGAAAAAAUUUCUGGUUUGUGGGAAUGGUCCAUGUGUAUGAUGUAAGUUUGGUAUUAUUCAGGUUUGGACGACACUUUGUUGAGCCUAGGUAACAAGAACAACACUAGGUAGAAAAUUAUUGUGCCGCGUAAAAAGUUUCCUAUCUUGUUGAAAUGGAUUUGUUUAGCCAUCGUAGCUAUAACAAUGAAAUAAAAUGAAAUUUCCUAUCUCAUUGAAAUCCCCCCUGUCGCGGAAAGUGCUGCAAUGGCUAUGACAUCCUUGAAAUAAGGUACCCGCCCAAGGCCUAAAAACAAGGACAAGAUAUAUAUCCCGUCCACAAUUGAUUGGUCCAUGGCAGCUAGUAAGUCGCUCGCAGCAAUGUUGCAAAGUGUGUCUGCCUAGCCAACCUUGUACAUGGCAAUACGUCCUCUUGGUGCCACCCCUUUGGUUGUCGCACUGGCGUAACCAAAAUGACUCGCACCGUGUACAUAAUUACCUGCAGCUAUAGAUGAUGUGUGAGUUCCAUGUCCAGAGAAAUCUCGUGCUGAUUCGAAGUCACGGUUCUUGGAGAUUCUUCCACCUGCAGCCACAAGUCCUGUGCUAAAAGAUCGAGCUCCAAUCAGCUUCAUGUUGCAAAGAGAAUGGGUAAAAGCUGUACCAUUCUCACAUAUCCCUUUCCAUCUCGCUGGAACCAGUGACAUCCCCUUGUCCCUAAAGCUAUCACUUUCUGGCCAUAUUCUUGUGUCGACUAACCCUAUGAUCACGUUUUUGCUAUAAGAUGCAGUAGGCCAAAUGCCAACGGUAUGACUUAGGCCAAGAAACUUAGGCAACGAGUGGGUUGUGAAGUGCUUCCCGAAGGACUCUUCAUAUGUCGCCAAAUUAGAAGGGAGCUUCUCCAGCUGAGAUAGUUGAGACGGCGUGAGCCGUGCUCUAAACCCAUGCAUGGCAUUGGCUGUAUGAGUAGACCAACUUCUCUUUGUCAUCGGAGCGAUAGUUGUACCUGUAGGAUGUUUUGGUGCCAUAACUCUUCAGUUUUAAAAUUUUCAGGUUUGCGUCCAUGUGUGUGAUGUAAGUUUGGUAUUCUUCAGGUUUGGACGACACUUCGUUGAGCCUAGGUAACAAGAACAACAUUAGGUAGAAAAUUAUUGUGCGGCGUCAAAAGUUUUCUAUCUCGUUGAAAUGGAUUUGUUUAGCCAUGGUAGCUAUAGCAAUGAAAUGAAGUGGAAAUGUGGGAUAGUUUUUUCAACUUGCAGAUUUAUCCUACUUAUAUAGUGGAGUCAGGAGUGUGAGCACAUUGGAAUCCAAAAUAUGUGUAUAUAUAAAUACAUAUUUGUGGAGACCCUUUAGGAUUUAUGCUAAUGAUUUUGACUGCUAACAUAUUUUUAUUUGAUUUUCCUCUCAAUAAGUUUAUCAUUUAAUGACCUUAAAUAUGAAAUUGAUCCUAAAUUUGGUAAAGUUCUGUGUUCUACGCAACGCAUUCUGACCAUGCUAAAUUUAUUUUGCUACAACAUACAAGUCUAGAGACUUUCCUUUUCCCUUUUUGAUAUUGUAGUAAUGGUUUCCACUUUCCCUUUUUGAUAUCAUAUCAAUAAUAUCAUAAUGUUUAUUUUAUAAUAUAUUUUAGAUUUAUAAUAUCGAGUUCCCUCCAUGCUUCUACAGAUCAGCACAAAACCUGCACAAGAAAUUGUCAAGGCAAAAGAGGUCGCUGGAAAACCUGCACAGAACCUGCAUGGAGGGAACGUAUGAGAAUAUGAUGAGUCAGCAUCUGCUUCUAAAGUUGUCAAUGUGUCUGUCAGUAUCAUAUAGGACCACCUUUCCAGCAACCUCUUUUGGAUCCAGCACUGAACCUCUGCAUAUUGGUUUGUUUAUCUUGUUUUUCCAUAAUAUAUAGGUGAAUUGGUGAUGUAAAUGCUCUCUGAAAAGUAUGACAUUCCUUCCACAGUUUCCCCAUUUCCCAGUUGCAACGUUGACACAAAUUCCCGAUCAAUAGUGCCAGCUCCUACUGUUGUAAUCCAUGGUGCUCCAUUGACUAUUGAGUAAGCAUCUGGUCCAAAAUUUCCAGCAACACAGAUGACGGAAAUCCCCCUCUGUCGCUGAAAGUGCUGCAAUGGCUAUGAAAUCCUUGAAAUAAGGUGCCUGUCCAAGGCCCAAAGACAAGGACAAGAUAUCUAGCCCCGUCCACAAUUGAUUGGUCCAUGGCAACCAGUAAGUCGCUCGCAACAAUGUUGCGAAGUGUGUCUGCCCAGCCAACCUUGUACAUGGCAAUACGUGCUCUAGGUGCCACCCCUUUGGUUGUCCCACUGGCGUAACCAAAAUGACUCGCACCGUGUACAUAAUUACCUGCAGCUAUAGAUGAUGUGUGAGUUCCAUGUCCAGAGAAAUCUCGUGCUGAUUCGAAGUCACGGUCCUUGGAGAUUCUUCCACCUGCAGCCACAAGUCCUUUGCUAAAAGAUCGAGCUCCAAUCAACUUCCUGUUGCAGAGAGAAUGGGUAAAAGUUGUACCAUUCUCACACGUCCCUUUCCAUCUCGCUGGAACUGGUGACAUCCCUUGUCCCUAAAGCUCUCACUUUCUGGCCAUAUUCCUGUGUCGACCCUAGGAUCACGUUUUUGCCGUAAGAUACAGUAGGCCAUAUGCUAGCGGUAUGACUUAGGCGAAGAAACUUAGGCGAGUGGGUUGUGAAGAGCUUCCCGAAUGACUCUUCAUAUGUCGCCAAAUUAGAAGGGAGCUUUUCCAGCGGAGAUAGUGAGAUAGCGUGAGCCGUGCUCUAAACCCAUGCAUGGCAUGGCUGUAUGAGUAGACCAACUUCUCUUUGUCAUCCGAGCGAUAUGGUGGCAACGACUGUAGGAUGUUUUGGUUCUAUAACUCUUCAGUUGUAAAAAUUUCUGGUUUGUGUCCAUGUGUAUGAUGUAAGUUUGGUAUUCUUCAGGUUUGGACGACACUUUGUUGAGACCAGGUAACAAGAAAAACACUAGGUAGAAAAUUAUUGUGCGGCGUCAAAAGUUUCAUAUCUCGUUGAAAUGGAUUUGUUUAGCCAUGGUAGCUAUAGCAAGAAAUGAAGUGGGAAUGUGGGAUAGUUUUUUCAACUUGCAAAUUUAUCCUACUUAUAUAGUGGAGUCAGGAGUGUGAGCACAUUGGAAUCGAAAAUAUGUGUAUAUAUAAAUACAUAUUUGUGGAGACCCUUUAGGAUUUAUGCUAAUGAUUUUGACUGCUAACAAAUUUUUAUUUGAUUUUCCUCUCAAUAAGUUUGUCAUUUAAUGACCUUAAAUAGGAAAUCGAUCCUAAAUUUGGUAUUGUUCUGUGUUCUACGCAUUCUGACCAUGCUAAAUUUAUUUUGCUACAACAUACAAGUCUAGAGACUUUCCCUUUCCCUUUUUUGAUAUUAUAGUAAUGGUUUCCACUUUCCCUUUUUGAUAUCAUAUCAAUAACAUCAUAAUGUUUAUUUUAUAAUAUAUUUUAGAUUUAUAAUAUCGAUUUCCCUUCAUGCUUCUGCAGAUCAACACAAAACCUGCACAAGAAAUUGUCAAGGCAAAAGAGGUUGCUGGAAAACCUGC